ensembl:lncRNA
GGGCGAUGAGGACAAAGGGGAGGGAUGGAUAUGGGUCAGGAUGAUGAGACACGCAGAGCCAGACGUGGUUUUUCAGAACGACUCAAAAAAAAACAGCAGCGGCAAUGGAAACGAUGUUUUGCUACUUGGCUUUGAAACCACAAAAAUUCUGUCUACAAAGUCUUGGCACCAACAGGCGGUCGGUUACUCUGCUUGAGAGCUUCAGUGGGGAAGAGCAUGAGUUCUGCACUUCUCUUGGUGCCGUCUGCAUUAGAGGGAACUCUUACACGGCGCUAUGAAGAGAAAUGUUGGAUAUGCCAGAAGGGAACGCACAUGGUUUCCCCAAAGGUCUCAUUUCUUGGACGAUGAGGUUAGUUUUGUUCCAAAAUUGUUGACUUUUUAAUACCUCAAUGACGCACUCUGUUUGUCAGGACAAAAAUGGACUGCUGUUUCAAUGCUACUGCC